rnacentral:rRNA from 1 species
UACGAGAGCCUCGAGCGUUAUCCGGAAUUAUUGGGCGUAAAGGGUGCGUAGGUUGUUCUGUUAGUCUUUUGUUAAAGUCCUCGGCUUAACCGGGGGAUUGCGGGAGAAACGGCAGAACUUGAAAGUGCGAGAGGUGUACGGAACUCAUGGUGUAGGGGUGAAAUCCGUUGAUAUCAUGGGGAACACCAAAUGCGAAGGCAGUACACUGGCGCAUAUUUGACACUGAAGCACGAAAGCGUGGGUAGCGAAUGGG